GAAGGCUCCUCCUGCAGAGCCUCUGGGCCAGGCAGCAGCAGCUCCAUCCAGUGCUGUUCCCCAUUUCUGCCUGUCCUGCGAGGCAAUAGUGUUGGGAUAAGAGGGACAAAGGGGGUUUCCUUCUUACUAAAACAUUUGUUUCCUGCUACCAGGAAGGCUUCUGUGCUUUUGUCACAGAGGUGCUUGGCUUGGUGCCCCCCUCCAUUUCUGCUGCAGGAUGUGGCUCAAGCUGCAUCCAGACCUCCUGGGAGAGUGGGCAGCCUCAGGCAUUCAUCCAAGAGAGGGAAAUGAUUCAGCAUACCUGGAGGGGCUGGGAAACAUGGUGGGAUUGAACACCGUGAGCCAUCUCUGUGUCUCACCAUCUCUGCCCCCCAAGACCAGGUGGAGGGAAACACGGUGAGGUCUUGUGGGGAGCCAGCAAUGAGGAGCGAAAGGCAGAGAAGAGGAAAGCCAGCCUGAAGCUGAGGUGACCACAGGGUUGUGCAGCACAGGCCUUAACACUGGGGACAGCAGAUGAGACUCCAAUAUGGAAACCAUGUCGUCAAACCAUGCUGUCCUGGAGCAGGGCUGUCCCGGAGCAGGGCUGUCCCCAGGACCCCAUGCCACUGCCUGUGUGGUCAGGGCUCUCUUCAGCCUCCGGCUUUGCUGCAGCAGAGUCCCCCGGCCUCUCAUCUUGUCACCAAGAAGUGACUUCUUCAAAGCCUCUGAGAUGCUGCUGCCCAUGGAGACCCAGAGGAGGUUGCCUGGACAUGUUUCCUGUCAGGGUGCCUGGACAUGUUUCCUGUGCACUAUCCUGGAUCCCUGAGGGCUGGUCCCUCUGUGCCCACGCUCCUGUCUCCAGCAUUACCCAUCCCAGAAGGAAAUCCCCAGCUCUGUAGAGUGGGGAGGCAAUGCCCCACAGCAAAUGCUCUGCAUCAGCUGGGAGAGCCCGGUCCUUCCUCAGAGCGAGGUGUCAGCCCAGCACCCCAAAUCCAGGCGGGGAAAAAAACCCUGACAGUGGAUAAUUCACCCCUGUGCACCAGCCCAGCAGGAGGAUUCACCCCCUUGAGGGCAUCUGGUGGCCCCGCCAUCCCUUCCCUGGUGCUGAUGGUUGCUCUCAUCUCCCCCAUGGUGGUUCCGCAGCUCUGAGCUCACAUGCGAGGAUGGGCUAAAGUAGCGGAAAGCUGUUGGAUCCUACCACAGAGUUACUGACUUCUCAGCUACAGACUGCAUAGCAAUCAGCGAGGGGGAGAGGCAGCCAGGGAACGGGAGCAGAGCGCAAAGGGAGGAAGAGUGGAAGGGAGAGGGGGGAUUUGGGGACUAGAGCAGGGAGGCAGCGAGAGACACGGGCAAAUAAUGCCAGAGAAGGAGGGAAUCAGGCAGGAGGGGGAGACCUGAACCCAUCGCCGAGCCACGAAGGCACAUCAGCGCUCCGUGGGAUGGACGCUCCUGGGAGCAAAAAAUUCUGAGAGGCAGAGGCAGGAGGAGAGCACUGGCGUGGGCAGGGCAGAGUUAGGAGAGGAGCAGGUCGCAGCAGAGAAGUAGCUCUUCGGGGGGAAAAAAUAAACCUAAGCUGGAGGCGAGCGAGGGCUGCAGAGAGACUUCCCUGAUUCCUCCGGUCUGGCUGAGACAUUUCAUGGUGAGAUGGAGAAAACGUCCGCUUUCCCCUUCCUCUGAUGUUGGCUAGGCACGGCUGGAGCAGGCAGCAGCCCUCGGCAGGACCCGGGUGUGUGCCAGGAGCACUUGCAAUGGCAGUGCCAGUCCCAGCUCACCAGACGUGAAACCUGGGAAAGGGUUCAGACAGAAGCCUGUUCCUGCUGUUAGGGAGUCUCUGACACUGGGUGU